UAUUUAAGAGUUAUUCAAUAACUACUAUAUAUAGUUUUAGGAAGAAAUUUUUACAACUCCAUAACAGUUAAAAUCUAUUUAAAUGAUAUAAGGAGAUUAUGAGAUUUAUAAACUAAGAAGAGAUAAUGUAAUUUUUUAUGCAAAAGUGGAAAAUAUGUGUGAAAUUGUCAAAUUUCUUUAUAUUAUGAUUAUAUUCCUUUCUAUAUUUCUUGUUACAACAAAUGUAGAUGGUUGUGUCGAAAAACCAAACAUAGAUGACUAUGAAUGUCGAAAAGAUGAUGAUUGUUGAAACAAGAAAUGUCGCAAGCCUCUUGAACCGAGUUGUAUCAAUAAACGUUGUAAAUGUGUUGUAA